rnacentral:rRNA from 1 species
GACGAACGCUGGCGGCGUGCCUAAUACAUGCAAGUGGGACGCAAGGACACACACUGUGCUUGCACACCGUGUUUUCUUGAGUCGCGAACGGGUGAGUAACGCGUAGGUAACCUGCCUAUUAGCGGGGGAUAACUAUUGGAAACGAUAGCUAAUACCGCAUAAUAUUAAUUAUUGCAUGAUAAUUGAUUGAAAGAUGCAAGCGCAUCACUAGUAGAUGGACCUGCGUUGUAUUAGCUAGUUGGUAAGGUAAGAGCUUACCAAGGCGACGAUACAUAGCCGACCUGAGAGGGUGAUCGGCCACACUGGGACUGAGACACGGCCCAGACUCCUACGGGAGGCAGCAGUAGGGAAUCUUCGGCAAUGGACGAAAGUCUGACCGAGCAACGCCGCGUGAGUGAAGAAGGGUUUCGGAUCGUAAAGCUCUGUUGUAAGUCAAGAACGUGUGUGAGAGUGGAAAGUUCACACAGUGACGGUAGCUUACCAGAAAGAGACGGCUAACUACGUG